GGAUUUUACACACCUGUUAUGUCUGUGGUCACCCUGGACCUUUCCCUUGUCUCCUGGACAAGGGAGCUGGGGUACAUGGUGCAGUUUUUCCUAGCAGAGGAGAGCUCAAGGAGCUGGAUCUGAAGGAUGUAACCUUCCCAGCUGGAGGAGGGAGGACUUUCUAGAAAGGCUGAAAAACAUCGAAACUUUUGCCAGACAUUUGAGACUCUAAAAACUGAAACACCAGCAGAUGGAGACAAACCCUGUUAUCAGACCAGCCCAGUCGAGCAGGACCUGUAGGAUUUGCAGCUUUCCUAUAGGAAGCUGAGGUGGAAACCUGAAGGAAGAACACCUUUUAUGAACUGUUGAGUGCUAUUGUUGUCUGCAGAUGUUUAAUACCAUGAACUUGAGGAGAAAAGAAGCUCUCUUAAAAAAAUAAUCUCUUGGUACCAUACUAAAUGUUUA